GACGAACGCUGGCGGCGUGCUUAACACAUGCAAGUCGAACGAUGAAGCUGGAGCUUGCUCCGGUGGAUUAGUGGCGAACGGGUGAGUAACACGUGAGCAAUCUGCCCUUGACUCUGGGAUAACUGCGGGAAACUGUAGCUAAUACCGGAUACUUUCAUUGGAAGGCAUCUUCUGGUGAAGAAAGAAUUUCGGUCAAGGAUGAGCUCGCGGCCUAUCAGCUUGUUGGUGAAGUAACGGCUCACCAAGGCGACGACGGGUAGCCGGCCUGAGAGGGUGACCGGCCACACUGGGACUGAGACACGGCCCAGACUCCUACGGGAGGCAGCAGUGGGGAAUAUUGCACAAUGGGCGCAAGCCUGAUGCAGCAACGCCGCGUGAGGGAUGAAGGCCUUCGGGUUGUAAACCUCUUUUAGCAGGGAAGAAGCGAAAGUGACGGUACCUGCAGAAAAAGCACCGGCUAACUACGUGCCAGCCGCCGCAGUAA
rnacentral:rRNA from 1 species